GAUGAACGCUGGCGGCGUGCUUAACACAUGCAAGUCGAACGGAAAGGCCCAAGCUUGCUUGGGUACUCGAGUGGCGAACGGGUGAGUAACACGUGGGUGAUCUGCCCUGCACUUCGGGAUAAGCCUGGGAAACUGGGUCUAAUACCGGAUAGGACGAUGGUUUGGAUGCCAUUGUGGAAAGUUUUUUCGGUGUGGGAUGAGCUCGCGGCCUAUCAGCUUGUUGGUGGGGUAAUGGCCUACCAAGGCGUCGACGGGUAGCCGGCCUGAGAGAGUGUACGGCCACAUUGGGACUGAGAUACGGCCCAGACUCCUACGGGAGGCAGCAGUGGGGAAUAUUGCACAAUGGGCGCAAGCCUGAUGCAGCGACGCCGCGUGGGGGAUGACGGUCUUCGGGUUGUAAACUCCUUUCGCUAGGGACGAAGCGUUUUGUGACGGUACCUGGAGAAGAAGCACCGGCUAACUACGUG
rnacentral:rRNA from 1 species